GACACGCAGACUAGUCGCGCGCUGAGUAGUGGAGGAGGCAGGACUGUGUGGAACGCGAGCUGCUGUUCCCGUCUUUGUUUUCACUCACGCCGCUUCUGAACCGAGUCAAGAAAGCGUCGAAAUCCAGAAUUUAGUUGAGCCUUUCGUUUUGCGAGUGUUUGGCUGAUGAGGUCUAUGGGCAUCAUCAUGGUCCCUGCAGCAGUUCUGAAGCUGUACGCCAUCGGAACGCUACUUUCUGUCAUCGCAGUCCUGUUUGAGCUAGGGAACUCCGUGGGUGGGCUCAUGUACUCCCCGGACUACCGCUACAUCAGUGAACCGAACCAUCAGACGCACGGGGAGCUCCACUCCUGCRAGCACCUGCAGCGACGGUCUGUAAAUAAAAACGUCGGCUCCUGAGGGACUGGUCAAAGCUGAACUUAAAAGGAUUGCCGGGAAAAGAACGGGACCCUCGACAGGAAACUGUUGCAGCUAAUCUGUUUCAGAGGAACUACGUGUAAUCGAAUGUUACAGCACUACUGAAGAAUUUGCACUAAAUGGGUUCCUGAAUGAAAGGACGGAUCAGAAAAAGAACAGUUACUUUUGGCUUUCCGAGUCCACUCGAUGGACCGGUCCUGACAAAUCAGAGCCAUAUGGAAAGAUAAGGAGAAUCUGGGUGUGCAACAGCAGCUACAAAUGACAUGUAAUGGCUUUAAUUAUUUGUGAUGAAAGGAAUGUAGUUCAAAGGAAUGACGGAAAGCUGGACGACGGUGUUUAAUAGAACCUUUUGAUUUGUUGCCCAGCCUUUCCCACCUACGCCAGACAUGUAAAGAAAUGAGUACUUAGAAUAAUAAAACUUGUGUAGUGUGUCAUCGCUUGCUAAACUUCUGACACAACUCUUGACAUCUCAGCUGAUUUUAUGCCAAACUUUAGCUUUACUUUGGAAUAAAAAAAGAAAUGGUAUCUGUCGCCAAGUGUUUUCCUUUUCAAAAUAAAUGUGUUUUAACUGGA